rnacentral:rRNA from 1 species
AGUUUGAUCCUGGCUCAGGAUGAACGCUAGCUACAGGCUUAACACAUGCAAGUCGAGGGGCAGCAUUGGAGUAGCAAUACUCAGAUGGCGACCGGCGCACGGGUGAGUAACACGUAUCCAACCUGCCGCUUACUCGGGGAUAGCCUUUCGAAAGAAAGAUUAAUACCCGAUGGUAUAAAGAGUUCGCAUGUUCUCUUUAUUAAAGAAUUUCGGUAAGCGAUGGGGAUGCGUUCCAUUAGAUAGUUGGCGGGGUAACGGCCCACCAAGUCUACGAUGGAUAGGGGUUCUGAGAGGAAGGUCCCCCACAUUGGAACUGAGACACGGUCCAAACUCCUACGGGAGGCAGCAGUGAGGAAUAUUGGUCAAUGGACGAGAGUCUGAACCAGCCAAAAGUAGCGUGAAGGAUGACUGCCCUAUGGGUUGUAAACUUCUUUUAUAAGGGAAUAAAGUGAGGGACGUGUCCCUUUUUGUAUGUACCUUAUGAAUAAGGAUCGGCUAACUCCGUGCCAGCCGCUGC